rnacentral:rRNA from 1 species
GUUGUAUAGUCAAGUAAUUAAGUGCAUGUGGUGGAUGCCUUGGCAGUCAGAGGCGAUGAAAGACGUGAUAGCCUGCGAAAAGCUCCGGGGAGGCGGCAAAUAUCCUUUGAUCCGGAGAUGUCUGAAUGGGGGAACCCACCUACUUUAAGGUAGGUAUUGCAACAUGAAUACAUAGUGUUGCAAGGCGAACGAGGGGAAGUGAAACAUCUCAGUACCCUUAGGAAAAGAAAUCAAUUGAGAUUCCCUCAGUAGCGGCGAGCGAACGGGGAUCAGCCCAUUAAGUUAUGUGUGUUUUAGUGGAACGCUCUGGGAAGUGCGAACGUAGAGGGUGAUAUUCCCGUACACGAAAGGGCACACAUAAUGAUGACGAGUAGGGCGAGGCACGUGAAACCUUGUCUGAAUAUGGGGGGACCAUCCUCCAAGGCUAAAUACUCCUGACUGACCGAUAGUGAACCAGUACCGUGAGGGAAAGGCGAAAAGAACCCCUGUGAGGGGAGUGAAAUAGAUCCUGAAACCGCAUGCAUACAAGCAGUGGGAGCACCUUCGUGGUGUGACUGCGUACCUUUUGUAUAAUGGGUCAGCGACUUAUAUUCAGUAGCAAGGUUAACCGUAUAGGGGAGCCGUAGAGAAAUCGAGUCUUAAUAGGGCGUUUAGUUGCUGGGUAUAGACCCGAAACCAGGCGAUCUAUCCAUGAGCAGGUUGAAGGUUGGGUAACACUAACUGGAGGACCGAACCCACUGUCGUUGAAAAGCCAGGGGAUGACUUGUGGAUAGGGGUGAAAGGCUAAUCAAGCCUGGUGAUAGCUGGUUCUCCCCGAAAGCUAUUUAGGUAGCGCCUCGGACGAAUACCAUAGGGGGUAGAGCACUGUUUCGGCUAGGGGGUCAUCCCGACUUACCAAACCGAUGCAAACUCCGAAUACCUAUGAGUACUAUCCGGGAGACAGACUGCGGGUGCUAACGUCCGUAGUCAAGAGGAAAACAAUCCAGACCGCCAGCUAAGGCCCCAAAAUCAUAGUUAAGUGGGAAACGAUGUGGGAAGGCAUAGACAGCUAGGAGGUUGGCUUAGAAGCAGCCACCCUUUAAAGAAAGCGUAAUAGCUCACUAGUCGAGUCGGCCUGCGCGGAAGAUGUAACGGGGCUAAAACUAUGUGCCGAAGCUGCGGAUNNNNNNNNNNNNNNNNNNNNNNNNNNNNNNNNNNNNNNNNNNNNNNNNNNNNNNNNNNNNNNNNNNNNNNNNNNNNNNNNNNNUGCUGGAGGUAUCAGAAGUGCGAAUGCUGACGUGAGUAACGACAAAACGGGUGAAAAACCCGUUCGCCGAAAGACCAAGGGUUCCAGUCCAACGUUAAUCGGGGCUGGGUGAGUCGACCCCUAAGGCGAGGCCGAAAGGCGUAGUCGAUGGGAAAAUGGUUAAUAUUCCAUUACUUCUGUGUAAUGCGAUGAGAGGACGGAGAAGGCUAAAUCAGCCUGGCGUUGGUUGUCCAGGUGAAAGGAUGUAGGCAUGUAUCUUAGGCAAAUCCGGGGUACUCUAUGCUGAGAUCUGAUAGCAAGCUGUACUUGUACAGCGAAGUGGUUGAUGCCAUGCUUCCAGGAAAAGUCUCUAAGCUUCAGUUACACAGGAAUCGUACCCGAAACCGACACAGGUGGUCAGGUCGAGUAGACCAAGGCGCUUGAGAGAACUCUGCUGAAGGAACUAGGCAAAAUGGUACCGUAACUUCGGGAGAAGGUACGCUGUUGUUGGUGAUGGAACUCGCUUCCUGAGCUGACGACAGCCGCAGAAACCAGGCCGCUGCAACUGUUUAUUAAAAACAUAGCACUCUGCAAACACGAAAGUGGACGUAUAGGGUGUGAUGCCUGCCCGGUGCUGGAAGGUUAAUUGAUGGGGUUAGCGUAAGCGAAGCUCUUGAUCGAAGCCCCAGUAAACGGCGGCCGUAACUAUAACGGUCCUAAGGUAGCGAAAUUCCUUGUCGGGUAAGUUCCGACCUGCACGAAUGGCAUAAUGAUGGCGGCGCUGUCUCCAGCAGAGGCUCAGUGAAAUCGAAAUCGCUGUGAAGAUGCAGUGUACCCGCGGCUAGACGGAAAGACCCCGUGAACCUUUACUGCAGCUUGACACUGAACUUUGACCUUACUUGUGUAGGAUAGGUGGGAGGCUUUGAAGCUGGAACGCUAGUUCCAGUGGAGCCGUCCUUGAAAUACCACCCUGGUAAUGUUGAGGUUCUAACUCUGUCCCGUGAUCCGGGACGAGGACCGUGUCUGGUGGGUAGUUUGACUGGGGCGGUCUCCUCCUAAAGAGUAACGGAGGAGUACGAAGGUGCGCUCAGCGUGGUCGGAAAUCACGCGUAGAGUAUAAAGGCAAAAGCGCGCUUAACUGCGAGACCCACAAGUCGAGCAGGUACGAAAGUAGGUCUUAGUGAUCCGGUGGUUCUGUAUGGAAGGGCCAUCGCUCAACGGAUAAAAGGUACUCUGGGGAUAACAGGCUGAUACCGCCCAAGAGUUCAUAUCGACGGCGGUGUUUGGCACCUCGAUGUCGGCUCAUCUCAUCCUGGGGCUGAAGCAGGUCCCAAGGGUAUGGCUGUUCGCCAUUUAAAGAGGUACGCGAGCUGGGUUUAGAACGUCGUGAGACAGUUCGGUCCCUAUCUACCGUGGGCGCUGGAAAUUUGAGAGGAUCUGCUCCUAGUACGAGAGGACCAGAGUGGACGAACCUCUGGUGUACCGGUUGUGACGCCAGUCGCAUCGCCGGGUAGCUAUGUUCGGAAGGGAUAACCGCUGAAAGCAUCUAAGCGGGAAGCCUACCUCAAGAUAAGAUUUCCCUAGGACUUUAUGUCCUCUAAAGAGCCGUUCGAGACUAGGACGUUGAUAGGUUGGAUGUGGAAGCAUAGUGAUAUGUGAAGCUGACCAAUACUAAUUGCUCGUGAGGCUUGACUAUACAACACCCAAGCAGUUG